AGAAAGAUAUGCCAUUUUGGUAAAUAAAAAUGCUCUUUAUCGUAUCCUUGAAUAUCGUUUUUCUCAAUAUUUCUUUGUCUUUAGUUCGAUAUCAAUCCUUAAAUAUAUAUAUAACAUACAAUAUAUAACAUACAAUAUAUAACAUACAACACAAUAUACUAAUUACUACAACACAAUAUAUAUAUUAUAUACAAUAUAUACUAAUUAUUACAACACAAUAUAUACAUAAUAUACAAUAUAUACUAAUUACUACAACACACUAUAU
rnacentral:lncRNA from 1 species